GACGUAGGGGGCGAGCGUUGUCCGGAAUUACUGGGCGUAAAGAGCACGUAGGCGGGACUUUAAGUCAGAUGUGAAAGACCGGGGCUCAACUCCGGGAUUGCAUUUGAAACUGGAGUUCUUGAGGGCAGGAGAGGAAAGCAGAAUUCCUGGUGUAGCGGUGAAAUGCGUAGAAAUCAGGAGGAAUACCAGUGGCGAAGGCGGCUUUCUGGACUGACCCUGACGCUGAGGUGCGAAAGCGUGGGUAGCAAACAGG
rnacentral:rRNA from 1 species